rnacentral:rRNA from 1 species
UACUCCUACGGGAGGCAGCAGUGGGGAAUAUUGGACAAUGGGCGAAAGCCUGAUCCAGCAAUGCCGCGUGAGUGAUGAAGGCCUUAGGGUUGUAAAGCUCUUUUACCAGGGAUGAUAAUGACAGUACCUGGAGAAUAAGCUCCGGCUAACUCCGUGCCAGCAGCCGCGGUAA